GCCUGGGUGGCUUGGUUGGUUGAGCGUCUGACUUCAGCUCAGGUCCUAGUCUCGCGGUCCAUGAGUUUGAACCCCAUGUCGGGCU
rnacentral:tRNA from 1 species